UUAUUUUAUCCUUAUUCUUAAAAAAAAACCUUCAAAAAUGCUCUCUACUCUCUCCUCCCCUCUCUAAGUCCGGUCACCGGACCGACCAUCGGCCGCCACAUCUCCGCGCGGUGGCCGAAACUCCAAAAGGGGAUGGGCGGUAAAGGCAGGGGCAGGUGGCCACUUGCACUGAUGAUGUGACCGGGGCGGUUGGGUAAGGUGUUUUAGGGUUUUAACUUUUCUAAAACCCUAAAUCUAGCUAAUUAGGUCUAAUAUUUGGGCUCAAGUGUGAGUUUGGGUCUAUUUGGGGUUUGGAUAGUUUUUAAGAUUUGGGAUUUGCUGUAAAUGAGAUUGGGUUUAAGGGCCCGAGCAAUUUGAGCUUCUACAAUAUGAUCAAUAAAUCAUACAAUUAAUUCACAUAAAA